rfam:Arabis alpina cultivar Pajares Aa.chr1_contig_2377, whole genome shotgun sequence.
UGGCCUCUUGGUGUUUAACUGCUCUACAUCAAUUGCUUCUGCACUUCAGACUUGCUGAGAUUUAACCGUCUUUGAAGCUGGUUUAGUAGUCUUAAGCACAUU